AGUUAGGAAAUGCCAGAAUCAAGCUUGCCCAUGCAACCUUAAUUCAAACCCUUGAGCAUAUGAAUUAUGAUACAGUCCUUAAUUAUAUGAUCACAUACUAUUUUUUUCCACAGGACUGGGGCUUUAUGAGUUAAUCAACAAGAUUGAUCUGCUCUGGAGAAAAAUCAGGGUGUUGUUGUAAAAGAGACUUAUCAAUCGGACCCUUGCCUCAUUUAUUGCAGAAGGGUGAAAAACAGCAACGUAUGUGACAAAUCCAUGUGUUGUAGAGAACAGACAAUUACUAUAUAAACCGCAAACAUCUCUAAGAAGCUAAGACUAAAAGCCUUGUCCUUCAGCUCCAAAAACACAGGCGUCUACCAGUUGGCUGUCAGGGCGGCCCUUACAUUCUCUGCGGGCCCUCUGUGAGAAAGCAGCGUCACAUACAAAUACGAAGCACAUUACAACUAUACAACAUGAGAAAUGAAUACCUUUUCCAACUGAAACUGCAACAAGAACUUUUAGGUAUGAAAAAUGUAAUUACCAACUUGGAAACUGGCCAGGACAUUGGGGCCAACACCCCUACUCUUAGAGUGAAUACAUCAGUUCUUUAAUGACUUAAAGUGGCAACGGAGUACUUCCUAAUACCACAUAGGGACACUGAUUUAGUAGGAAGAGUUCUGCCUUUUGAGUCCCCAACACUACUUUCCUAUAGUUGCUUAGAAGCCUCUAAUCCGCCUGACCUUACUAAUUCCACCUGACCUUACUACAGUUGUGAGAUCUGAACAAAAUUACAUUACAAGGUGGUCAGUGUCAUACAUAACACAUGCUCACAUUGCUAACAUAAUCUGAACGUAAACUCAUAAGUUUAAGAGAGGGUGUUUCUCUUGUGCAUCACUGACUGACCCAGGUUUUAAUAAGUAAAGAUGUAAAUAAAGAUUAGUUGUGCCCGGACAGAAACACAAUAUAUGUACCUCUACAUCAGAUUCUUGGUAAUUUUCCAUUAGUCUCUGAACAAAUGUUUCGACUAUUUGUGGUCUUACAGCUGAGAAGUUUUCUUGCAUGAUUCGAUGCUUCCAGAGCUCUGGAGGAGCCAGGGGAAAAAACAUAACAAACAAUACAUCAACAGAUGUCUGUCACAAAAUAUUGAUCCCUCUUUAAUCCCUGUAAAAUGAUACCAUGUGCAAUUUGUAGUUUAGGAUUUCUCAAUCUUUCUAAAACUGUAUGCAACAGAAGGUAACUAUCACCACAAACAAAUUAUGUGAUUCUAUGCAGCAGGGGUGUUAGAUACAUGGUGUCAAAAGGGUAAAAGACAUUUUUGUUAUGGGCCAGGUGCCCCAGUUAGGGCCCUAUCCACAAUUGAUCACUGCCUGAUAAUAAGAGCUUUGCAUGAAAUUUGAGAGUAGAAUAUGGCUUUUUAUGUAGUAACUAAAUGUUUGGGUAGAAAAAUUACUGUUGCAUU